CACUUUCCUCCUGUGGAAAUUGACAAGGAUGAAGGUGGUGGUGGUGGUGGUGUUGGGCAAGAUCGUGAUAAUAAUGCUAGUAGUAGCUCCAGUAGUUCCAGCAGCUCCAGCAGUGAUUCCUCCUCUUCUAGUGGUAUAUAUAUAUAAACUACUCCAACUGCCAAAAAUGAUCCUUUUUGUUGUUCUGGCUCUCAAAUGAAGGCUUUGAUUAAUUGAACAUAACUUUUUUUGUGCAGAUUCUGAUUCAGGAAGUUCUUCAGGGAGUGACUCUGAUGCUGAUGAUGCACACUCUUGAGAUUUGUUGGUCCAAGCAUUGGCCGUUUUGUUUUUUGAGGUAUAAAGUCAGUGCCUCGAAUUGUCUUUCGAUGUUUUGCACAUUCCGCAUCUUGACAUUUGUUGGUUCAAGCGUUGGCCUUUUUUGUUUUUUGAGGUAUAGAGUCGGUGCCUCGAAUAGUCUCUUGAUGUUUUGCACAUUUCGCUGAGCUGAGAAGUUUGGAAGAACCUUUAUGCAGAGCUGUAACCACAUGGGCAGG
rnacentral:lncRNA from 1 species